AUUGAACGCUGGCGGCAGGCCUAACACAUGCAAGUCGAACGGCAGCACAGAAGAGCUUGCUCUUUGGGUGGCGAGUGGCGGACGGGUGAGUAAUGUCUGGGAAACUGCCCGAUGGAGGGGGAUAACUACUGGAAACGGUAGCUAAUACCGCAUAACGUCGCGAGACCAAAGUGGGGGACCCUCGGGCCUCACACCAUCGGAUGUGCCCAGAUGGGAUUAGCUAGUAGGUGGGGUAAUGGCUCACCUAGGCGACGAUCCCUAGCUGGUCUGAGAGGAGGACCAGCCACACUGGAACUGAGACACGGUCCAGACUCCUACGGGAGGCAGCAGUGGGGAAUAUUGCACAAUGGGCGCAAGCCUGAUGCAGCCAUGCCGCGUGUAUGAAGAAGGCCUUCGGGUUGUAAAGUACUUUCAGCGGGGAGGAAGGCGGUGAGGUUAAUAACCUCGCCGAUUGACGUUACCCGCAGAAGAAGCACCGGCUAACUCCGUGCCAGCCGCCGCGGUAA
rnacentral:rRNA from 1 species